AGAUAUUCCAGUCGCUAGUCCCAUUAUCGCGAGGAUUUUUUGUUGGAUUAUAUUUUGCUUUUGCAUCUUAUAUACUUGUAUUGUGGAUUUAUAUUGUGGACAUUGAACAUUCGGAUUUAUUACUUUUGUUUAGGUUUUUGGGUUGUUCAAUGGCGAUGGAGGAUGCAACAGAGAGUUGCGACAGUUGGCAUGUGGUGGAUUUGGCUCGCAUACAUACUCGGCAGAAAUUGUAACACUGUGUAUAACCAGUUCCUUAGCUACCACCAUUUUUACUCUGAUGCAUGCGCCACCUUCACGUUGCGUUAUUGACGUUCCACGAAGUCACCACCUACACCACAGGUGCCUGUGCUAUUGCAGCCUAUAGUCACAUAAGUUUAGUAUAAGGAAGAUUCCUAUGAGUGAUUCUUCUAUAGAACUUCCUAAAGGUUUUACUUGAAAUGAAGGUAGCUUCUUUGAGCUGAUGUUGUUGAAAAGAUUGAGUAGUUCCUUGAGGUGAUUAAUAAGAUUGUCUCAACAAACUUGGUUGGUUUGUUACUUUAUACAAGAGAAACAAUUCAUCUCAUGGAAUUUGAAGACAUGCUACUAGCAAGAGGAUGGAGGAAGAAAUUAUU